rnacentral:sRNA from 1 species
CUGCAGCCCGAGCUGAGUGGAGCUCAUUUUUUGCGGUGGACUUAGCCUUGGCAAAAAAUAGCGGGAACGGAGCGCGGAUAAGCU